GGCUGUGCUGAGAUUUUGCUCAGAUUGCGUUAGACACGCUUGAGAGCUCAGAGCUGAUGGUUGUUUCCGCUAAUAGCCUGGAAAUCUUAUCAAAUUCGAUGAAGAAUCUUGGAAAUAGAAAGCUUCCCUUGUGAACGGUUGAAGCCCGGAAAAAUCCCCGUGUAGUCGUGUAGCAUCGAAGCAUCGGUCAGGUUUUUCGGUUAUAGUGCACUUUUGGCCUGUGGUGCCUCGAAACCACCAGAUCAUCCUCUCCUGAACUUGGAUGGUGAGCCCCAGCCCAGAGGACCGAGUGAACUGGUAGAUUGUGACCUGACUGGUCACUGGCUGUGAGACAUUGAAUUAAUAUUUGACAGACGUAUCGAAAAGACUGGGUUAUUUAUGUUAUUUUAUUUUGUUGGGUUUUUCUUUUUAAAAAAGCACACAAUUUUUGUUUAUUUGUAAAUGUGGAUCCACCAAUGUUCACUAUAUUAAACCUUACUCUUUUUCAUAGACAUUGUGUGUUCUCCUCCGUUGUUACUCACACCUAGGCUCCUGUGAAUUUAGAAAUCUUCUGAUCAGGCCCAGUUUUCUCUAUGCUUGUGUAGUGUUGGUAUUAGUCAUCAAAGUAAAUUGAUUUACCUGCCAUCUACUAUUAUCAGGUUUAUUUAAAGUAACCCUUCUAGUGCUGGUUACACAUGCAUACUCUAGAGAGAGAAGCAAAUCUAUUAGAAAGCAUGCUUCCUUCAUGUCAUGAUGUGCAAAGAAAAAUAACCACCAGAUUCAUUCGGCUGAGACUAAGGAUAGCAGCAAAACAUUUCUUUAAUGAAAGAAAAAAAAUUCUGGCCAAUGCUGGACAUCUUGGAAGUAAAAGCCAGGCGAAAAACACAAAGAAAAAACAAUGUCAAACCUCAUCUUGCACCCCAACAAACAAGCCCUAAGCAAACACCUUGACUGUUGCCACAGACCUUUGAUUGUUUAAAGGUAUUUUUUGUUACUGUAUUGAUGCUGAUAUGUUCCAAUAAUAAUUCUUAAUUUCUUUUUCUGUCUUGAGAUAGAUUCUAAUAUCUACUUCAACUUCACCCAUGACUGUAAAUACCAACUUUGUG